rnacentral:rRNA from 2 species
CUAAUACAUGCAGUCGAGCGGACCGAAGGGAGCUUGCUCCUGGAGGUUAGCGGCGAACGGGUGAGUAACACGUGGGCAACCUGCCUGUAAGACUGGGAUAACAUCGAGAAAUCGGUGCUAAUACCGGAUAAUAAAAAGAACUGCAUGGUUCUUUUUUGAAAGAUGGUUUCGGCUAUCACUUACAGAUGGGCCCGCGGCGCAUUAGCUAGUUGGUGAGGUAACGGCUCACCAAGGCGACGAUGCGUAGCCGACCUGAGAGGGUGAUCGGCCACACUGGGACUGAGACACGGCCCAGACUCCUACGGGAGGCAGCAGUAGGGAAUCUUCCGCAAUGGACGAAAGUCUGACGGAGCAACGCCGCGUGAGUGAUGAAGGUUUUCGGAUCGUAAAACUCUGUUGUUAGGGAAGAACAAGUGCCGUUCGAAAGGGCGGCACCUUGACGGUACCUAACGAGAAAGCCACGGCUAACUACGUGCCAGCAGCCGCGGUAAUACGUAGGUGGCAAGCGUUGUCCGGAAUUAUUGGGCGUAAAGCGCGCGCAGGCGGUCUCUUAAGUCUGAUGUGAAAGCCCCCGGCUCAACCGGGGAGGGUCAUUGGAAACUGGGAGACUUGAGUACAGAAGAGGAGAGUGGAAUUCCACGUGUAGCGGUGAAAUGCGUAGAGAUGUGGAGGAACACCAGUGGCGAAGGCGACUCUCUGGUCUGUAACUGACGCUGAGGCGCGAAAGCGUGGGGAGCAAACAGGAUUAGAUACCCUGGUAGUCCACGCCGUAAACGAUGAGUGCUAGGUGUUAGGGGUUUCGAUGCCCUUAGUGCCGAAGUUAACACAUUAAGCACUCCGCCUGGGGAGUACGACCGCAAGGUUGAAACUCAAAGGAAUUGACGGGGGCCCGCACAAGCAGUGGAGCAUGUGGUUUAAUUCGAAGCAACGCGAGAACCUUACCAGGUCUUGACAUCCUUUGACCACCCUAGAGAUAGGGCUUUCCCCUUCGGGGGACAAA